UCCGAUUUGGCACCGGCGGUCUCGCAUGAGUCCCCGGCAUUACCCGCUGGCAACUAAGAGCAGGGGUUGCGCUCGUUGCGGCACUUAAGCCAACACCUCACGGCACGAGCUGACGACAGCCAUGCAGCACCUGUGCAGGGCCCCGAAGGACACGGGCUUUCACCCGCUCUACCCUGCAUGUCAAGCCCAGGUAAGGUUCUUCGCGUUGCAUCGAAUUAAGCCACAUGCUCCGCCGCUUGUGCGGGCCCCCGUCAAUUCCUUUGAGUUUCAUUCUUGCGAACGUACUCCCCAGGUGGAUUACUUAUCACUUUCGCUUAGACGCUGACUGUAUAUCGCCAACAUCGAGUAAUCAUCGUUUACGGCGUGGACUAC
rnacentral:misc_RNA from 1 species